AAUACUGCUUUUCCUUUCAUUAUAUUUUACAAAGAAACAAACUCAUAAAAUGUACGCAGGUCUUAUCUUUACCUCGAGAGGUAGCGGUAAUACUUCUUUUUCUGUCAUUAUAUUUUACAAAUAAGCAAACUCAUAAAGUGUACACGCAUCGACCUUAUCUCUACCUCGAGAGGUAGCGAUAAUACUUCCUUUCCUUUCAUUAUAUUUUACAAAGAAACAAACUCAUAAAAUGUAUGCAGAUCGACCUUAUCUCUACCUCGGGAGAUACUGGUAAUACUUCUUUUCCUUUCAUUAUAUUUUACAAAGAAACAAACUCAUAAAGUGUACGCAGAUCUUAUCUCUGCUUCGGGAGGUCGAGGUAAUACUUCUUUUCCUUUCAUUAUAUUUUACAACGAAACAAACUUAUAAAGUGUACGCAGAUCUUAUCUCCACCUCGGGAGGUCGAGGUAGUACUUCUUUUCAUUUCAUUGUAUUUUACAACGAGACAAAUUCAUAAUGUGUACGCAGAUCUUAUCUUUACCUCGAGCGGUCGAGGUAAUACUUCUUUUCCUUUCAUUAUAUUUUACAACAAAACAAACUCAUAAAGUGUACGCAGAUCUUAUCUCCACCUCGGGAGGUCGUGGUAGUACUUUUCAUUUCAUUAUAUUUUACAACGAAACAAAUUCAUAAAGUGUACGCAGAUCUUAUCUUUACCUCGAGCGGUCGAGGUAAUACUUCUUUUCCUUUCAUUAUAUUUUACAACGAAACAAACUCAUAAAGUGUAGGCAGAUCUUAUCUCUACCUCAGGAGAUACAGGUAAUACUUCUUUUCCUUUCAUUAUAUUUUACAAAGAAACAAACUCAUAAAGCAUACACAGAUCUUAUUUCUGCUUCGGGAGGUCGAGGUAAUA
rnacentral:lncRNA from 1 species